CAGACGAUAUCGAAAGAGUUGUACUGCUUAGGGGGAAAGUUCAACUGCGAUAAAUGGUACAGGCACGAAACUCAUGCCCGUACCGAAUAUGAAAAACCCGCUUGGAUCGAGAUGACCGAGACGGAGGG
rfam:Desulfosporosinus sp. OT TOT.assembly.100, whole genome shotgun sequence.